UACGGAGGGGGCUAGCGUUAUUCGGAAUUAUUGGGCGUAAAGGGCGUGUAGGCGGCCUCGUGUGUCCCAUGCGAAAGCCCUCGGCUCAACCGGGGAACUGCAUGGGAAACUGCGGAGCUUGAGUCCGGGAGAGGUGAGUGGAAUUCCCAGUGUAGCGGUGAAAUGCGUAGAUAUUGGGAGGAACACCGGUGGCGAAGGCGGCUCACUGGACCGGUACUGACGCUGAGACGCGAAAGCCAGGGGAGCAAACGGG
rnacentral:rRNA from 1 species